CCCCCCCCGCCGCCGCUUCCGGCGUACGACGUCAUCAACGACUAGUCGAAGUCGACUCGACUUUCAUUACUUGACUGUCGACUUUAAAAAAAAUAAAGUCGUGCAGGCCCUAGUCCAGACUGUGGUCCUACCGCCUCAUCUCGCUGCUGCUGGCGGUGCCGGUGUCCCUGGCAGCAGGACUCCUCUUCGCAGUGCUCAGCUGCCUUCACAUCUGGUGUGAAACAGUUCAGACUAGAAUAUUAAUGGGAGACAGGAUCAUUUUCUGAGAGUGAUAAUUAGAUUCUAUUUCAUGUAUUUUUUCACCCCCUGAGGGACUCUGUUAGUGAUGUUUUAAUGCUGUUUAUUCAAUUAGCUGAUGUUCUUCCCUCCCCCUUCUGUCCUUCCAGGCUAAUCAUGCCCUGCGUGCAGCUCCUUCUCAUCAACAUGUGAUGGAUUCACACGGUGAGGAGUGGAGGGGACAUCAGCUGCGAUGGAUUCGUAAUCAGGUGUCCUGGCAUAAAGGAAGGAUGGAGACACCACUUGACGCCGGAUGAUUGCUACAGUUUGGACAUCCUCUACUACCUCCACAACCUUCGCCGCCAGAGACCCCUGAACCCUCAGGACCACGUCCCAUCCUCCUCCACGGCACCUGUCCCAUCUCCUCUCCGCUGCCUCACCCACCUCGCUCACCAGGACCCCCUCCCUCGCUCACUUCGGCUCGCCACGAUCCCCUUCGGUCUCAGGAUCUCUACUCUGGACUAUUAUCUACAGUCAUCAACUCUCUGGACUUCCCAGUGCAUCUUCUUUUCCCGUUUUGUAAUAAAGAGACUUUAUUUUUACUCACCUCAGCAGUCGUGUUGAUUCUGUAUGUCUUGGGCUAAACGCCUCCCGCAAGUCAUGACAAGAAAUCCCUCUCUUGACGUGGUGGAAGGUUAUUUUUGGGUUAGGACACAAACAAAGACAGGAACUGGCAGUUUUAAAGCACAUCAGUAAUUAAGGUGAUGUUCAAGGAGACUUACACGAGUGGAAAACAGUCCUCCAGUCCAGCUGUUGAGUUCAGUUCCAGCUCAGAUGUUCACUUCCAGAAAAAUGACAGCUUGUUUGGUUGAAAUGGUUCCUUCUGAACCAGACAUCAGCUGAGACUGUGGCCAAAAGCAUCAGCACGCUGCUCCAUACAGCUGCAGUCAUAAGUGAUGCGUCCAGACAAACAGGAAGAUGUGACCAGUACUUUGCUUUACUAACCACGGUUUGUCCAAGUGUCUUUUAUUUCUGGAUCACAGACCAUUUUUCCUGAUGAGUAAAAUCAUAACUAUUCCUUACAGACUGUGUGUGUGCAUCAUUUGCAG
rnacentral:lncRNA from 1 species